rnacentral:piRNA from 1 species
UGCGUGGGCGUCGGUGAUGGAAGCCAUC